rnacentral:rRNA from 1 species
UACGUAGGGUGCAAGCGUUGUCCGGAAUUAUUGGGCGUAAAGAGCUCGUAGGCGGUUCGUCGCGUCGGCUGUGAAAACCUGAGGCUCAACCUCAGGCCUGCAGUCGAUACGGGCGGACUUGAGUACUGCAGGGGAGACUGGAAUUCCUGGUGUAGCGGUGAAAUGCGCAGAUAUCAGGAGGAACACCGGUGGCGAAGGCGGGUCUCUGGGCAGUAACUGACGCUGAGGAGCGAAAGCGUGGGGAGAGAACAAG